rnacentral:rRNA from 1 species
UACGUAGGGUGCGAGCAUUGUCCGGAAUUAUUGGGCGUAAAGAGCUCGUAGGCGGCCUGUCACGUCGGAUGUGAAAGCCCGGGGCUUAACCCCGGGUCUGCAUUCGAUACGGGCAGGCUGGAGUUCGGUAGGGGAGAUCGGAAUUCCUGGUGUAGCGGUGAAAUGCGCAGAUAUCAGGAGGAACACCGGUGGCGAAGGCGGAUCUCUGGGCCGAUACUGACGCUGAGGAGCGAAAGCGUGGGGAGCAAACAGG